rnacentral:lncRNA from 1 species
GCUUAGGCUAUAUCGGUUUAUUGGUCGAUGAAGGCAGCAUCGAAGAUAAUGAUCAUGUCUACCGGAUAAUUAUUAUGGCAAGAAUGAAGAAAUUAAUUACCAGCGCUUGGGCAGUGUGCGCCAUCUGGCGGAGGAGAUCUAGUCGUGCAGUGUACGCCAUCUGGCGGAGGAGACCCAGUCAGAAGGUCGUAAGUAUUGCUGUGAGGUCAGAAGUGAUGACAGAUGUAGCGAAAUUUGUAAACUGAUAAAAUGAUGUGGCAGACUUUGCACACUUGCUGCUUGUCAAACGGUUUUAUUCUCAAGGCCCAGCCUAUUUCCCUCAAUUAUUGCUAAAUUAUUGUUUCUUUUC